rnacentral:lncRNA from 1 species
UUUAUCUGCACAUACUAAGUUGCUUUUAUUAAUCCAGAAUGGCAUGCUACAGAUACUGUACAGCAUGAACAUUUAUUCAUUACAAAAAUGGCUUCCAAACCAUUAAAAAUGAAAUUGGAAUAAGAGCAUAAAACGGAACAGUAACAUCACAAUUGUUAGGAAACAUUCAAAGUAUUCACAAAAAAAUGUUAUAGUUAGCAUUUUAAUAAACCAGAGAAAAACCGGAGACAGUUUUACAAUCGCUUCAUGUCAACUACAAUGGCACUGAAUGAACAGGUUUUAGCUUUAUACAGCAUUUUGUAACAUCAACAUGCGUGAUUAAAACUACAUACAAAUCUACCUAUGUAACAUCACAGCAAAACAUGAUGAACAAAAAUUACAGCAUCAAAAAGAGGGAGAAAGCUAAAGUCACUGAGAAUUUUGGCACAUAAAAAGUUUUGCACACGGUCAGUCCAUGUCCUCAGGGUGCAGGGUGCUCGCCUGUGAGUUCACAGGGGAAACGG